rnacentral:rRNA from 1 species
UACGUAGGGUGCAAGCGUUGUCCGGAAUUAUUGGGCGUAAAGAGCUCGUAGGCGGCUUGUCGCGUCGGCUGUGAAAACCUGGGGCUCAACCCCGGGCCUGCAGCCGAUACGGGCAAGCUAGAAUUCGGUAGGGGAGACUGGAAUUCCUGGUGUAGCGGUGAAAUGCGCAGAUAUCAGGAGGAACACCGGUGGCGAAGGCGGCAUCCUGGACCGGCAUUGACGCUGAGGCGCGAAAGCUAGGGGAGCAAACGGG